GGGUUGUGAGGUUAAGCGACUAAGCGUACACGGUGGAUGCCCUGGCAGUCAGAGGCGAUGAAGGACGUGCUAAUCUGCGAUAAGCGUCGGUGAGGUGAUAUGAACCGUUAUAACCGGCGAUUUCCGAAUGGGGAAACCCAGUGUGUUUCGACACACUAUCAUUAACUGAAUCCAUAGGUUAAUGAGGCGAACCGGGGGAACUGAAACAUCUAAGUACCCCGAGGAAAAGAAAUCAACCGAGAUUCCCCCAGUAGCGGCGAGCGAACGGGGAGGAGCCCAGAGCCUGAAUCAGUGUGUGUGUUAGUGGAAGCGUCUGGAAAGGCGCGCGAUACAGGGUGACAGCCCCGUACACAAAAAUGCACAUACUGUGAGCUCGAUGAGUAGGGCGGGACACGUGGUAUCCUGUCUGAAUAUGGGGGGACCAUCCUCCAAGGCUAAAUACUCCUGACUGACCGAUAGUGAACCAGUACCGUGAGGGAAAGGCGAAAAGAACCCCGGCGAGGGGAGUGAAAAAGAACCUGAAACCGUGUACGUACAAGCAGUGGGAGCCUCUUAAUGGGGUGACUGCGUACCUUUUGUAUAAUGGGUCAGCGACUUAUAUUCUGUAGCAAGGUUAACCGAAUAGGGGAGCCGAAGGGAAACCGAGUCUUAACUGGGCGUUAAGUUGCAGGGUAUAGACCCGAAACCCGGUGAUCUAGCCAUGGGCAGGUUGAAGGUUGGGUAACACUAACUGGAGGACCGAACCGACUAAUGUUGAAAAAUUAGCGGAUGACUUGUGGCUGGGGGUGAAAGGCCAAUCAAACCGGGAGAUAGCUGGUUCUCCCCGAAAGCUAUUUAGGUAGCGCCUCGUGAAUUCAUCUCCGGGGGUAGAGCACUGUUUCGGCAAGGGGGUCAUCCCGACUUACCAACCCGAUGCAAACUGCGAAUACCGGAGAAUGUUAUCACGGGAGACACACGGCGGGUGCUAACGUCCGUCGUGAAGAGGGAAACAACCCAGACCGCCAGCUAAGGUCCCAAAGUCAUGGUUAAGUGGGAAACGAUGUGGGAAGGCCCAGACAGCCAGGAUGUUGGCUUAGAAGCAGCCAUCAUUUAAAGAAAGCGUAAUAGCUCACUGGUCGAGUCGGCCUGCGCGGAAGAUGUAACGGGGCUAAACCAUGCACCGAAGCUGCGGCAGCGACACUAUGUGUUGUUGGGUAGGGGAGCGUUCUGUAAGCCUGUGAAGGUGUACUGUGAGGUAUGCUGGAGGUAUCAGAAGUGCGAAUGCUGACAUAAGUAACGAUAAAGCGGGUGAAAAGCCCGCUCGCCGGAAGACCAAGGGUUCCUGUCCAACGUUAAUCGGGGCAGGGUGAGUCGACCCCUAAGGCGAGGCCGAAAGGCGUAGUCGAUGGGAAACAGGUUAAUAUUCCUGUACUUGGUGUUACUGCGAAGGGGGACGGAGAAGGCUAUGUUGGCCGGGCGACGGUUGUCCCGGUUUAAGCGUGUAGGCUGGUUUUCCAGGCAAAUCCGGAAAAUCAAGGCUGAGGCGUGAUGACGAGGCACUACGGUGCUGAAGCAACAAAUGCCCUGCUUCCAGGAAAAGCCUCUAAGCAUCAGGUAACAUCAAAUCGUACCCCAAACCGACACAGGUGGUCAGGUAGAGAAUACCAAGGCGCUUGAGAGAACUCGGGUGAAGGAACUAGGCAAAAUGGUGCCGUAACUUCGGGAGAAGGCACGCUGAUAUGUAGGUGAAGCGACUUGCUCGUGGAGCUGAAAUCAGUCGAAGAUACCAGCUGGCUGCAACUGUUUAUUAAAAACACAGCACUGUGCAAACACGAAAGUGGACGUAUACGGUGUGACGCCUGCCCGGUGCCGGAAGGUUAAUUGAUGGGGUUAGCGGUAACGCGAAGCUCUUGAUCGAAGCCCCGGUAAACGGCGGCCGUAACUAUAACGGUCCUAAGGUAGCGAAAUUCCUUGUCGGGUAAGUUCCGACCUGCACGAAUGGCGUAAUGAUGGCCAGGCUGUCUCCACCCGAGACUCAGUGAAAUUGAACUCGCUGUGAAGAUGCAGUGUACCCGCGGCAAGACGGAAAGACCCCGUGAACCUUUACUAUAGCUUGACACUGAACAUUGAGCCUUGAUGUGUAGGAUAGGUGGGAGGCUUUGAAGUGUGGACGCCAGUCUGCAUGGAGCCGGCCUUGAAAUACCACCCUUUAAUGUUUGAUGUUCUAACGUUGGCCCCUGACCGGGGUUGCGGACAGUGUCUGGUGGGUAGUUUGACUGGGGCGGUCUCCUCCUAAAGAGUAACGGAGGAGCACGAAGGUUGGCUAAUCCUGGUCGGACAUCAGGAGGUUAGUGCAAUGGCAUAAGCCAGCUUGACUGCGAGCGUGACGGCGCGAGCAGGUGCGAAAGCAGGUCAUAGUGAUCCGGUGGUUCUGAAUGGAAGGGCCAUCGCUCAACGGAUAAAAGGUACUCCGGGGAUAACAGGCUGAUACCGCCCAAGAGUUCAUAUCGACGGCGGUGUUUGGCACCUCGAUGUCGGCUCAUCACAUCCUGGGGCUGAAGUAGGUCCCAAGGGUAUGGCUGUUCGCCAUUUAAAGUGGUACGCGAGCUGGGUUUAGAACGUCGUGAGACAGUUCGGUCCCUAUCUGCCGUGGGCGCUGGAGAACUGAGGGGGCUGCUCCUAGUACGAGAGGACCGGAGUGGACGCAUCACUGGUGUUCGGGUUGUCAUGCCAAUGGCACUGCCCGGUAGCUAAAUGCGGAAGAGAUAAGUGCUGAAAGCAUCUAAGCACGAAACUUGCCCCGAGAUGAGUUCUCCCUGACUCCUUGAGAGUCCUGAAGGAACGUUGAAGACGACGACGUUGAUAGGCCGGGUGUGUAAGCGCAGCGAUGCGUUGAGCUAACCGGUACUAAUGAACCGUGAGGCUUAACCUUACAACGCCGAAG
rnacentral:rRNA from 1 species